rnacentral:tRNA from 1 species
UUUUUUAUGACAGAUUAAUUGUAUUAAAUUUAGAAUUUAAUUAUUU